GAUAACAACAGGAAAAACAUGGCGGACAGAGCAGUUUCUAAAGCAAGUCUUGAAUUUUUCCAAACGCUGAUAAAUUCCACUGAAAGCUUUGCUGACGAUAAAGUAUGUGUAAUUGGUAUCAUUGGUAAAGGUAGUUUUGGCCACAAGUGUAAAGCCCGCCAUAUUAACUCUGCUAUAGAGAAAGAUUUAUUCAAGCUUGGGUUUGUCAAUAAAUUCUCGAAAUCAUCCAGCAGUUCUGUAUCUCCU